GAUCAUGGCUCAGAUUGAACGCUGGCGGCAUGCUUUACACAUGCAAGUCGAACGGCAGCACAGAGAAGCUUGCUUCUUGGGUGGCGAGUGGCGAACGGGUGAGUAACAUAUCGGAACGUACCGAGUAAUGGGGGAUAACUAAUCGAAAGAUUAGCUAAUACCGCAUAUUCUCUGAGGAGGAAAGCAGGGGACCUUCGGGCCUUGCGUUAUUCGAGCGGCCGAUAUCUGAUUAG
rnacentral:rRNA from 1 species